CCUACGGGAGGCUGCAGUGGGGAAUAUUACACAAUGGGGGAAACCCUGAUGCAGCAACGCCGCGUGAGCGAUGAAGGCCUUCGGGUCGUAAAGCUCUGUCCUAAGGGAAGAAUACUGACGGUACCUUAGGAGGAAGCCCCGGCUAACUACGUGCCAGCAGCCGCGGUAAUACGUAGGGGGCUAGCGUUAUCCGGAAUUACUGGGCGUAAAGGGUGCGUAGGCGGCCCUUCAAGUCAGAGGUGAAAGGCUACGGCUCAACCGUAGUAAGCCUUUGAAACUGUAGGGCUUGAGUGCAGGAGAGGGGGGUGAAAUUCCAGGGGUAGGGGUGAAAUGCGGAGAUAUGGGGAGGAAAACCAGUUGCGAAGGCGGCUCUCUGGACUGUAACUGACGCUGAGGCACGAAAGCGGGGGGAGCGAACAGGAUUAGAUACCCCGGUAGUC
rnacentral:rRNA from 1 species